rnacentral:rRNA from 1 species
UACAGAGGGUGCAAGCGUUGUUCGGAAUUACUGGGCGUAAAGGGCGCGUAGGCGGCCUUGCAAGUCAGAUGUGAAAGCCCGAGGCUUAACUUCGGAAGUGCAUUUGAAACUGCAAGGCUAGAGUUCAGUAGAGGUUGGCGGAAUACCCAGUGGAGAGGUGAAAUUCGUAGAUAUUGGGUGGAACACCGGUGGCGAAGGCGGCCAACUGGGCUGACACUGACGCUGAGGCGCGAGAGCAUGGGUAGCAAACAGG